GUCCUUUUGAAUUUUAUGGAAGGUCUGACCUGCCCAGUGAUAAUUUUAACGGCCGCGGUAUACUGACCGUGCAAAGGUAGCAUAAUCAUUAGUCUUUUAAUAGAGGGCUGGAAUGAAAGGUUUAACGAGGAAUUGACUGUCUCAUUUUAUUUGUUUUAGAAUUUAAUUUUUUAGUCAAAAAGCUAAAAUCUUAUUGGAAGACGAGAAGACCCUAUAGAUCUUUAUAAAACUUUAUUUAAUUAUUUUUAUAUUAUUUUAUUUAAAUGAUUUUUUAUUUUGUUGGGGUGACAAAAAUAUAUGUAAAACUUUUUUAUUUAUUUAACAUUAAUUUAUGAUUAUUAGAUCCAUUAUUAGUGAUUGAUAGACUAAGUUACCUUAGGGAUAACAGCGUAAUCCUCCUCCAGAGUUCAUAUUUACAGGAUGGGCUUGCGACCUCGAUGUUGGAUUAAGAUGAUAGUUAGGUGUAGCCGCUUAAUUUAUAGGUCUGUUCGACCUUUAAACUCUU
rnacentral:rRNA from 1 species